CUCCCCUCCCCCCACGUUCCUCAGCCGCCACCUCAAAGCCUCCCCCGCAGCCCGCGCGCUGUCCUCGGGGGAGGUGGCCGGUCUCGCCCGUCCACUGACUAACCCCUUCACCCCAGUUUCGCCCCGCCUCUGGCCGAGCUCCGGUACAAACUCUGCCGCCGAGGGCUCGGCUUUCACAUUCCCGCCUCCGCCCUCCGUCUCCCUCCCAACCCUAAAGCACUUCCUGCAAACUGCCGGCUGCGCGGCUGCUUUCCUUUCCGUUGCGGACCAGAGAUUCCUUGAGAUUUGAAAAGACUCCAGAUGUGGCUCAGGCUGACCUUGAACUCAUGAUCCUACUGCAUCCUUCACUACAUCUGGCUCUAUUUUAUCUUCGGAGGGUACAAAUAACCUACAAAAGAAAAGGCGCUCAAGGGGAGGAGCAGUGAGACAGCUCAGCAGGAAAGGGUGCUUUGUGCAGAAUCUGAAGACUGGAAGGAGAGGAGGGACAACUGCAAGUUGUCGUUCCCCGUCCACAUGGUCUCACUCUGUAGUUCAGAAUGUCCUGGAGCUCACUAUAUUCCCUGAGUGGUCUUGGGUUUAUGGUGAACCUGGUUCACCCUCCCAAGUCCUGGAAUCAUAGAUAGUCUCAUAUGGCCCAGCCUGGCCUGGAAUUACUCAGUAGCUGAGGCUGCCCCUGAACUCCCUGAUACUUCUCCCUCUACCUCCCUCCAUGGAAAAGUGGAGAUUUUGAGAGCUGCAGGUUUGAUCAAGAUCUCCCAGCAGUUAUGAGAAGAGUUAGGGCCAAACCCCAGAUCUCAG
rnacentral:lncRNA from 1 species